rnacentral:rRNA from 1 species
GACGAACGCUGGCGGCGUGCUUAACACAUGCAAGUCGAACGGAAAGGCCUCUUUCGGGGGGUACUCGAGUGGCGAACGGGUGAGUAACACGUGAGUAACCUGCCCUUGACUUUGGGAUAACUUCAGGAAACUGGGGCUAAUACCGGAUAGGAGCUCCUGCUGCAUGGUGGGGGUUGGAAAGUUUCGGCGGUUGGGGAUGGACUCGCGGCUUAUCAGCUUGUUGGUGGGGUAGUGGCUUACCAAGGCUUUGACGGGUAGCCGGCCUGAGAGGGUGACCGGCCACAUUGGGACUGAGAUACGGCCCAGACUCCUACGGGAGGCAGCAGUGGUGAAUAUUGCACAAUGGGUGGAAGCCUGAUGCAGCAACGCCGUGUGCGGGAUGACGGCCUUCGGGUUGUAAACCGCUUUCGCUCAUGACGAAGCUUUGUGUGACGGUAGUGGGUAAAGAAGCACCGGCUAACUACGUG